ACUCCUACGGGAGGCAGCAGUAGGGAAUCUUCCACAAUGGACGAAAGUCUGAUGGAGCAACGCCGCGUGAGUGAAGAAGGGUUUCGGCUCGUAAAACCUCUGUUGUUAAAGAAGAACAUAUCUGAGAGUAACUGUUCAGGUAUUGACGGUAUUUAACCAGAAAGCCACGGCUAACUACGUGCCAGCAGCCGCGGUAAUACGUAGGUGGCAAGCGUUGUCCGGAUUUAUUGGGGCGUAAAGCGAGCGCAGGCGGUUUUUAAGUCUGAUGUGAAAGCCUUCGGCUCAACCGAAGAAGUGCAUCGGAAACUGGGAAACUUGAGUGCAGAAGAGGACAGUGGAACUCCAUGUGUAGCGGUGAAAUGCGUAGAUAUAUGGAAGAACACCAGUGGCGAAGGCGGCUGUCUGGUCUGUAACUGACGCUGAGGCUCGAAAGUAUGGGUAGCAAACAGGAUUAGAUACCCUGGUAGGAUAGCG
rnacentral:rRNA from 1 species